ACCGUGUACGUACAAGCAGUGGGAGCACAGGUUUACCGGUGUGACUGCGUACCUUUUGUAUAAUGGGUCAGCGACUUAUAUUCUGUAGCAAGGUUAACCGUAUAGGGGAGCCGGAGGGAAACCGAGUCUUAACCGGGCGUUAAGUUGCAGGGUAUAGACCCGAAACCCGGUGAUCUAGCCAUGGGCAGGUUGAAGGUUGGGUAACACUAACUGGAGGACCGAACCGACUAAUGUUGAAAAAUUAGCGGAUGACCUGUGGCUGGGGGUGAAAGGCCAAUCAAACCGGGAGAUAGCUGGUUCUCCCCGAAAGCUAUUUAGGUAGCGCCUCGUGAAUUCAUCUCCGGGGGUAGAGCACUGUUUCGGCUAGGGGGCCAUCCCGGCUUACCAACCCGAUGCAAACUGCGAAUACCGGAGAAUGUUAUCACGGGAGACACACGGCGGGUGCUAACGUCCGUCGUGAAGAGGGAAACAACCCAGACCGCCAGCUAAGGUCCCAAAGUCAUGGUUAAGUGGGAAACGAUGUGGGAAGGCCCAGACAGCCAGGAUGUUGGCUUAGAAGCAGCCAUCAUUUAAAGAAAGCGUAAUAGCUCACUGGUCGAGUCGGCCUGCGCGGAAGAUGUAACGGGGCUAAACCAUGCACCGAAGCUGCGGCAGCGA
rnacentral:rRNA from 1 species